UUCAGGGCUCCUGUAGCCUUCCUGCUAGAAACUAGACAUGGCAAGGCUGGUCACACAUUCAGCAAGAGAUAAUGGAUUCCAAUAACUUGUGAGUGGUGAGGAGUGGUGUGUAGGAGAAGGAACAAUCUUAAAGGAUAUUAAAUUCAUGCAAACAGCGACAAUGGAACAAAUGCCAAAGAAACUGAGAUUGAAACAGCUACUGACAUACAUAAAGAACAACGGCUGCUGCAGCUUUUUGUGAAUACACCGAAUGCCGUGCGCUGUUGACAGCUGAAGAUGAGCAGCUUAGGCUGAAGGAGAAAUCCUCUGGACUUACAGGACAAAUUCAGAGACCAUGUCCAUGAUAUUCCAAUGUGGCAAUGAUCCCCAACUGCCAUUUACCACCAGCAUCCAAUGUAAGUUGGAGCAGCCCUGAAGCUGCUCUAUCUUAUGCUGAAGGACCAGUCUCACUCACAGCCACACCAGAGUCAGAGGCACAAACAGAGUAUACAACAGGGAGAAAAAACAAUGAAGGAACCACACAGAAAAAGGAAGUUGCAUUGGACACAGGAUUUCUAUGGAACUAACCAAAGAAGCAGAAAUCGUGGCUAGGAAUUUUUUUUUCAAAGUUUGCCUCUUCAUCCGCCAAACUCAUUCUAAAAAUGGACAAAGCUGCUGUGUCCGCAGAAGAAGCUGGCAAGAAAGAGAGCAUUAAGAAAACCAUACCACUGAUCCAAAUGAACAGGGAGAGUGUGCUGGACUGAGAUUAUACCCUAACUGGCUGUAGACAACUGCUGCUUUUCCAAAAAGUACUCAUUACACCUAGAAGCAUUUCAAAGUCCCAUUGCAUGUGAAUACAGCCUGUAACUUAUUUAAAUUGCAUGUUUACUGCGCCAGCGAAGAUACAAUACCAGAUAUUUUACCAAGAAGGCAAGCUCUUUAUCUAAUCAUUUGCACAAUCAAGUAAUAAUGAUGUCUUUUGUUUUCUCUGAUACUUUAUCAUCUGUGUACAUAAAACUUACCUUACUGC